CAGCCGCCGCGGUAAUACGGAGGGGGCUAGCGUUGUUCGGAAUUACUGGGCGUAAAGCGCACGUAGGCGGCUUGGUAAGUUAGAGGUGAAAGCCCGGAGCUCAACUCCGGAAUUGCCUUUAAGACUGCCGAGCUAGUAGGUGAGAGAGGUAAGUGGAAUUCCGAGUGUAGAGGUGAAAUUCGUAGAUAUUCGGAAGAACACCAGUGGCGAAGGCGGCUUACUGGCUCAUUCUAGACGCUGAGGUGCGAAAGCGUGGGGAGCAAACAGGAUUAGAUACCCCAGUAGUCCCUGUCUCUUAUAC
rnacentral:rRNA from 1 species